CCAGCCGCCACCAUGAGUACCAACACAUAAGAUACUGAUUUCCACUUGGCUGACAGACACCAUCCAAGCAUCACCUGCUGACAACACCUUGCUCCAAACAACUGUGAGCCCUGGACUUGCUGAAAGAUGAUGUGGACUAGUUCAGCCAUUGUGACUGCUCCCUGUCUCUUUAUCUGGGGCAAGUCCAGGUGCUUCAUGCCUCCACCCAACGAGCAAAUGACCAAGGACAAAGUCAUUUUCACCUGUAUGACCAUAGACUCCCAUCCUGGAGACAGUGAUGUGGAGUAUAACAGCCAUGGAAAACCAGAGCAGAACUACAAGAACACCCCAUUGGUCAUGGACUCUGAUGGGUCCUUCUUCCUCUACAGAAACCUUACCAUGGACAAGAGCAGGAGGCAGAAGGAAAUGUUUUUACUUGCUCUGUGUACAUGAGGACCUGUACAAUCACCACACAUAGAAGACCCUCUUCUGGUCUGUAGGUAAAUAAAUGCAGCAUUCAGUGAGCCCUCCAA